UACAGAGGUCUCAAGCGUUGUUCGGAUUCAUUGGGCGUAAAGGGUGCGUAGGUGGCGCUGUAAGUCGGGUGUGAAAUUUCGGAGCUUAACUCCGAAACUGCAUUCGAUACUGCGGUGCUUGAGGACUGGAGAGGAGACUGGAAUUCAUGGUGUAGCAGUGAAAUGCGUAGAUAUCGUGAGGAAUACCAGAGGCGAAGGCGGCUACCUGGACCAACACUGACACUGAGGAGCGAAAGCCAGGGGAGCAAACGGG
rnacentral:rRNA from 1 species